rnacentral:lncRNA from 13 species
GUAUUCAAGUUUGCUUACUGCAGGAUAUGCAGAGCUAAUGAGUCCCCUUCUUUUACAGGGUCCUGUGGGAAAGCAAAAGAGUCAUCAUGAAAUAAACAACUGUGCAUCAGAUUGUAUGUAAUCACUGCAAUGGCAGACUGAGGGCAAAGGAAAUUAAACCAGUUGGGUGAACUAGCUCAGCAAGGGACAGUUCACAGGAGAGUCUUUAUCUACUCUUUCCACAGACUGUGUGUGCAUAAUUGCAGAUAUUUCACAGAACCUAUUGGAAGAAUUUGAUGGUAUACCUAAAAAGUGGAAUUUGUUGUAUUUAAAACUACAUUUAAAAAUGAAAAAGAAUAGGAUUCCAGCCUGAAAGUGAGGAUUCUGCACAAUCCUGGUUAUCCCUAGGCCUGAAUUCUACAAAAGGCUCCCUGAGGAC